CAGCAAGUGGGGAAACAUGCAAAGCUCACAAGGAAUGGCUCAAGGCUUUAAGCGAUUAGCAUUUUAGUUGGUCAAAUUUUAUUAGCAGCACCUAAUUACUAAGUGUAAGUUUAUACCAACCCAACUUAAGCAUAUAACAUUAACAUUAACCCAAAGGUAAAGGUAACACAGUUUAAUCUCAUCUUUAAGUUCAAUUAUCAUGUGAGGGUCCAAGCCACUCUUAACCAUGAGCACGGCUAAUAUAUCAGUUUUCACUCUGCAAAGGUUGUACACUUUACCCACAACUCGUGGUCCCCCGUGUCACCCGGGUUUGCAAAGCCCUUAAACACUUCCUUUGGUGAGUGGCUGGGAGGUCCACUACGAAGCCUUUACAAAGAUACACAGAUAACUGGUAGCCUGCUAGAGUUUCAGUAGCGAUGCGGACCACAACCCGUUAAUGAGAAAGCACCUUAGCGAAGGCUACUGCUCCAGAUCGUGCACCCAACACCUUCCCCCUCCUUGCCCUUUCGGUAAAGCCACCAGCUAACUAAAUGCCUAAUUAUUCGGCUAAAAUCAGAGCCAUGUGAUGUUGUGGUUGUACUGUUUUCUUGGGUGGUUCUCCAUGUUCCGAUUAAAACAAGUGUUCUUGCAAUUAAAUAUGUAUAGAAACAUAAAUAAAACAUGAUUAGCAUCUUUCAUGAUUAGAACAUUACCAACCCAUAGUUAAGCAACUAGCAUGCUACCCAACAUGAUUAAACAGGUUCAUACAAGGAAACAGGAUUAAAACUAGGUAAGUCCUUAAUAGGCAUUCCCGUCAAACUUAUGGACAUACAAGAAAUAGAUAAAGUGUUUAAUCAUGAUAUUAUUGGGACAAAAAGAACAUGCAGGGGGAGAAGGCCACUUGCCUUCCUCGGCAAACUGGGAGUACUCUUCUUCGAACGGUGGCUGCUCUUGGACUUGCUCCUCCGCGAACGUCACGUCGUCUACACAAUCACACAAGGCAAACAAACAAAGAAUAAGUAAAACAGUACAACAAACAUAUGCAAAGGCUUACAACAAACUCCUAAAACUAACGUUCAUGCAGAGACGAUCGCGUGAGCGCGAGAAUCGCUAAAAUCGGAUUUAAAACAAUGAAGAUAUGAGAUAAACAAGUUCCAAGGGCUAAAACAGAAUUAACUAUAUACUUCAGGGGCUAGCAAGGAAUUUUAGAAAGAUAUACUGAAUAGUACAUGCGAAAACAGAGAAACAUAGGGUUAGAUCUACAAAAUGACAUGGCUCGGGUUAAAAUAAAAGAAUACAGGAACUUCAGGGGCUUCUCUGGAAAAUUUACAAGACACAAGAAUUAAGUAAAAGGAAUAACAGAGAGUUCAGGGACUAGAUCGCAAAACAUCUUAUCUUCUUCUUCCUUUCUCCAGAACAGGCAUGUGCCUGGGCAUGGCCGACGGGAAGGGGGGCCUCGCUGGCGCGCGGGCGGUGGCGCCCUGGUGGGGGAGAGGGGGAGAGAGGAGGAGGGAAGGAAGGAGAGGGCUCUCACCGGAGGAAGAACAGGAACUUCGCUGGCGAUAGAACAGGCGGCGGCGUGGCUUGGGCGGCGGCACGGCGGUGCGAGAGAGAAGCCGGUGAGUAGCAAAACGGAAAGUGCUCAAAAACGUACAUAAACCAGUAGGAACUUUAUUACACUUAGCGUGAUAGACACAAAGGUCUUUAAUCGUUCACCGAUAACUUAACACGCACACACACACACAGCGCAGCUUCUCCAUAGGCUUGACUGGUGAACACCUGCCUAGAACUCCUCGAAGUCAUCGAAGAACUUCCCGUCGUCACAAGCUUCUAAACAGCAUUUGGGCAAGGGUGAGUACACUUAUGGUUGGUACUCAGCAAGUGGGGAAACAUGCAAGGCUCACAAGGAAUGGCUCAAGGCUUUAAGCGAUUAGCAUUUUAGUUGGUCAAAUUUUAUUAGCAGCACCUAAUUACUAAGUGUAAGUUUAUACCAAUCCAACUUAAGCAUAUAACAUUAACAUUAACCCAAAGGUAAAGGUAACACAGUUUAAUCUCAUCUUUAAGUUCAAUUAUCAUGUGAGGGUCCAAGCCACUCUUAACCGUGAGCACGGCUAAUAUAUCAGUUUUCACUCUGCAAAGGUUGUACACUUUACCCACAACUCGUGGUCCCCCGUGUCGCCCGGGUUUGCAAAGCCCUUAAACACUUCCUUUGGUGAGUGGCUGGGGGGUCCACUACGAAGCCUUUACAAAGAUACACAGAUAACUGGUAGCCUGCUAGAGUUUCAGUAGCGAUGCGGACCACAACCCGUUAAUGAGAAAGCACCUUAGCGAAGGCUACUGCUCCAGAUCAUGCACCCAACACCUUCCCC
rnacentral:lncRNA from 1 species